UACAGAGGGUGCGAGCGUUGUCCGGAAUUAUUGGGCGUAAAGAGCUCGUAGGCGGUGUGUCACGUCGGCCGUGAAAACCUGCAGCUUAACUGUGGGCGUGCGGUCGAUACGGGCAUCACUGGAGUUCGGCAGGGGAGACUGGAAUUCCUGGUGUAGCGGUGAAAUGCGCAGAUAUCAGGAGGAACACCGAUGGCGAAGGCAGGUCUCUGGGCCGAUACUGACGCUGAGGAGCGAAAGCGUGGGGAGCGAACAGG
rnacentral:rRNA from 1 species